rnacentral:lncRNA from 11 species
GAAAGGGGACAGUGAAGGAUGGCUGUCCACUGCUGGGUGUUUUGCUGAGCUUGGAAAGGUGGUUCCACUUGAACAUCAGGAAGAGCUUCCUCACUGUGAGAGCUGUUCGGCAGUGGAACUCUCUGCCCUGACUGUGGUGGAGGCUCUUUCUUUGGAGACUUUUAAUCAGAGGCUGGAUGG